rnacentral:lncRNA from 1 species
GUCUGGCAGGAAAGAAGAGUCAUUAGGCAUCAUCUGGCAACUUGGCUUGGAGAAGUCAGAUCAGUCACCAAGAGUCUGGUGGGGCUGCAGCAAUGGCUAGAAAGAACCAGUGACAUGAUUGCCAGAAUAACAAGCAAAGUAAAAUAAUCCAUGUAGCCCUUGAGGAUAUGACAAAAGGCUGGGGUUAAGAUAGAGUGGUCAGAGAAGACCUUUCUGAGGCCAUGGUAUUUAAGAUGAGACUUGAAGAGCAACAAGAAGCUAGACACACAAAGCAGAUAAUUUUUUAAUGGCCAUUUCUGGAGAGAAGUUU